UACGUAGGGGGCAAGCGUUGUUCGGAAUUACUGGGCGUAAAGGGCUCGUAGGCGGCCAACUAAGUCAGACGUGAAAUCCCUCGGCUUAACCGGGGAACUGCGUCUGAUACUGGGCGGCUUGAAUUCGGGAGAGGGAUGCGGAAUUCCAGGUGUAGCGGUGAAAUGCGUAGAUAUCUGGAGGAACACCGGUGGCGAAGGCGGCAUCCUGGACCGAGAUUGACGCUGAGGCGCGAAAGCCAGGGGAGCAAACGGG
rnacentral:rRNA from 1 species